rnacentral:rRNA from 1 species
UACGGGGGGGGCAAGCGUUGUUCGGAAUUACUGGGCGUAAAGGGCUCGUAGGCGGCCAACUAAGUCAGACGUGAAAUCCCUCGGCUUAACCGGGGAACUGCGUCUGAUACUGGAUGGCUUGAGAUUGGGUGAGGGAUGCGGAAUUCCAGGUGUAGCGGUGAAAUGCGUAGAUAUCUGGAGGAACACCGGUGGCGAAGGCGGCAUCCUGGACCAACACUGACGCUGAGGAGCGAAAGCCAGGGGAGCAAACGGG